AUGAGCCAAGACAGCCGAGUGGGCAGCUCUUACAUGUCUUGGUACCAACAGAAGGCUGGAGAGAGACCCAAAUUCCUUCUCUAUGACAACAACAACAACAGCAGAUUCUCGGGGACCAUAGACAGCUCUGCCAAUGCAGCCUAUUUAACCGUUGGAAACCUCCAGGCUGAUGAUGAGGCUGAUUACUAUUGUGGUGGAGCCAACUCACAGAUAAUCUUGACUCAGCCUGUGGCACAAUCGUUUCCCCUGGGACAACCAGCAAAGAUCUCAUGUACCAUGAGCCAAGAUGCCCAAGUAGGCAGUCGUAACAUACAUUGGUACCAACAGAAGGCUGCAGAGAGCCCCAAACACCUUCUCUAUAAUGCCGGCAGCAACGGUCGGUUCACGGGGUAUAAGGACGCCUCUACCAAUGCAGCCUAUUUAACCAUUACAAACCUCCAGGAUGAGGAUGAGGCUGGUUAUUAUUGUGCUAGUUAUUAUGGCAGUACCAACAACUGGAAGUAUCCACAGUGA